rnacentral:rRNA from 1 species
CAGUCGCCGCGGUAAUACGAAGGGUGCAAGCGUUAAUCGGAAUUACUGGGCGUAAAGCGUGCGUAGGCGGUUUGUUAAGUCUGUUGUGAAAUCCCCGGGCUCAACCUGGGAAUGGCAAUGGAUACUGCCGAGCUAGUAGGUGAGAGAGGUAAGUGGAAUUCCGAGUGUAGAGGUGAAAUUCGUAGAUAUUCGGAAAAACACCAGUGGCGAAGGCGGCUUACUGGCUCAUUCUAGACGCUGAGGUGCGAAAGCGUGGGGAGCAAACAGGAUUAGAUACCCGGGUAGUCCCUGUCUCUUAUAC